CAGCCGCCGCGGGAAUACGAAGGGGGCUAGCGUUGCUCGGAAUGACUGGGCGUAUAGGGCGCGUAGGCGGCGAUCAAAGUCAGGCGUGAAAUUCCUGGGCUCAACCUGGGGGCUGCGUUUGAUACUUGAUUGCUAGAGUGGGGAAGAGGGUCGUGGAAUUCCCAGUGUAGAGGUGAAAUUCGUAGAUAUUGGGAAGAACACCGGUGGCGAAGGCGGCGACCUGGUCCUUGACUGACGCUGAGGCGCGAAAGCGUGGGGAGCAAACAGGAUUAGAUACCCCUGUAGUCCCUGUCUCUUAUAC
rnacentral:rRNA from 1 species